UGAUAGCAUUCCCAGCCACAACCCCUUCUAAACCAAAAUCAAUUGCGCCUGCUGCUUCUCUCACUUCAUCUCCACCAUCUUCAUCCCCCAAUGCUGCAAUCGCAACCCUUCCCGUUUCAUCUUCCAUGAUAGCAUCUCCUUCGUUUAAAGCUGUUGCUCCAGCUCCAGCAACUACUCCUCCGGUGGCCACACCUCCCACGGCCACUCCUCCUGCGGCUACACCUCCUGUUGUGAUACCUGUGAGCUCGCCGCCAACGCCAGUUCUGGUGAGUUCUCCACCAUCGCCUGUUCCGAUAAACUCUCCCCCUACAUUGGCACUGACAACUCCAACACACAUGGUAGCACCCAGUGCUGAGGUUCCCGCUCCCUAGUCGAAGAAGAAGACGAAGAAAAGUAAGAAGCACACUGCACC
rnacentral:lncRNA from 1 species